rnacentral:rRNA from 1 species
GACGAACGCUGGCGGCGUGCCUAAUACAUGCAAGUCGAACGCACUCUCGUUUAGAUUGAAGGAGUUUGCUCCUGAUUGAUCAACAUUUGAGUGAGUGGCGGACGGGUGAGUAACACGUGGGUAACCUGCCCUAAAGUGGGGGAUAACAUUUGGAAGCAGAUGCUAAUUCCGCAUAAAACCUAACACCGCAUGGUGUAGGGUUGAAAGAUGGUUUCGGCUAUCACUUUAGGAUGGACCCGCGGUGCAUUAGUUAGUUGGUGAGGUAAAGGCUCACCAAGACCGUGAUGCAUAGCCGACCUGAGAGGGUAAUCGGCCACACUGGGACUGAGACACGGCCCAGACUCCUACGGGAGGCAGCAGUAGGGAAUCUUCCACAAUGGACGAAAGUCUGAUGGAGCAACGCCGCGUGAGUGAAGAAGGUUUUCGGAUCGUAAAACUCUGUUGUUGGAGAAGAAUGUAUCUGAUAGUAACUGAUCAGGUAGUGACGGUAUCCAACCAGAAAGCCACGGCUAACUACGUG